UCAUCUUCGGGGGUAGAGCACUGUUUCGACUAGGGGGUCAUCCCGACUUACCAACUCGAUGCAAACUGCGAAUACCGAAGAAUGUUAUCACGGGAGACACACGGCGGGUGCUAACGUCCGUCGUGAAGAGGGAAACAACCCAGACCGCCAGCUAAGGUCCCAAAGUCAUGGUUAAGUGGGAAACGAAGUGGGAAGGCUCAGACAGCCAGGAUGUUGGCUUAGAAGCAGCCAUCAUUUAAAGAAAGCGUAAUAGCUCACUGGUCGAGUCGGCCCGCGCGGAAGAUGUAACGGGGCUAAACCAUGCACCGAAGCUGCGGCAGCGACACAAAGUGUUGUUGGGUAGGGGAGCGUUCUGUAAGCCUGCGAAGGUGUACUGUGAGGUAUGCUGGAGGUAUCAGAAGUGCGAAUGCUGACAUAAGUAACGAUAAUGCGGGUGAAAAACCCGCACGCCGGAAGACCAAGGGUUCCUGUCCAACGUUAAUCGGGGCAGGGUGAGUCGACCCCUAAGGCGAGGCUGAAAAGCGUAGUCGAUGGGAAACGGGUUAAUAUUCCCGUACUGGUGGUAACUGCGAUGGGGGAACGGAGAAGGCUAGGUUGUCCGGGCGACGGUCGUCCCGGUUCAAGCAGGUAGGCAGAGUGAUUAGGCAAAUCCGGUCACUUAAUGCUGAGAUGUGAUGACGAACCACCAAGGUGGUGAAGCAAUUGAUGCCCCGCUUCCAGGAAAAGCCUCUAAGCUUCAGGUUACCAACAAUCGUACCCCAAACCGACACAGGUGGUCAGGUAGAGAAUACUCAGGCGCUUGAGAGAACUCGGGUGAAGGAACUAGGCAAAAUGGUGCCGUAACUUCGGGAGAAGGCACGCUGGCGGUAGGUAAAGUCCCUCGCGGACGGAGCUGAAGCCAGUCGAAGAUACCAGCUGGCUGCAACUGUUUAUUAAAAACACAGCACUGUGCAAACACGAAAGUGGACGUAUACGGUGUGACGCCUGCCCGGUGCUGGAAGGUUAAUUGAUGGGGUUAGCCGUAAGGCGAAGCUCCUGAUCGAAGCCCCA
rnacentral:rRNA from 1 species